AUAAUUAGACAACACGACGAGCCAGGGAGAGAGUCUCCUUUAUGAGGUUAAUAACGCAGAGCUGAUGUGUUAUAACCGACGGAGGUCUAUCCAACCGUCAACAGAGCGCCGCGGGGAGGGACUCGCGUUACACGUUUGUGGCGAGGCGAGACCGUCGCUCCUGCAAGAUGCCCGG